UACGUAGGGUGCAAGCGUUGUCCGGAAUUAUUGGGCGUAAAGCGCUCGUAGGCGGUUUGUCGCGUCGACUGUGAAAACCCGGGGCUCAACCCCGGGCCUGCAUUCGAUACGGGCAGACUAGAGUUCGGUAGGGGAGUCUGGAAUUCCUGGUGUAGCGGUGAAAUGCGCAGAUAUCAGGAGGAACACCGGUGGCGAAGGCGGGACUCUGGCCCGUUACUGACGCUGAGGCACGAAAGCGUGGGGAGCAAACAGG
rnacentral:rRNA from 1 species